rnacentral:rRNA from 1 species
UUGAACGCUGGCGGCAUGCCUUACACAUGCAAGUCGAACGGUAACAGGUUAAGCUGCCGAGUGGCGAACGGGUGAGUAAUACAUCGGAACGUGCCCAGUAGUGGGGGAUAGCCCGGCGAAAGCCGGAUUAAUACCGCAUACGACCUAAGGGUGAAAGGGGGGGAUCGCAAGACCUCUCGCUAUUGGAGCGGCCGAUGUCAGAUUAGCUAGUUGGUGGGGUAAAAGCUCACCAAGGCGACGAUCUGUAGCUGGUCUGAGAGGACGACCAGCCACACUGGGACUGAGACACGGCCCAGACUCCUACGGGAGGCAGCAGUGGGGAAUUUUGGACAAUGGGCGCAAGCCUGAUCCAGCCAUGCCGCGUGCGGGAAGAAGGCCUUCGGGUUGUAAACCGCUUUUGUCAGGGAAGAAAUCCUUUGGGUUAAUACCUCGGGGGGAUGACGGUACCUGAAGAAUAAGCACCGGCUAACUACGUG